AUCUUUCUGGAGAUCCCUGUGUACCUGAGGCCCUCUAAGGGUUGCUCUGUGAAAAAUCAGGAGAACUCCCACAUAAAUCACCUUGUGGUUACUGUUGUUGUAAAUUUGGAAGUUGGGCCAUGUUCAGAGCUGCUGAGAGGACCGGGACAGGUUUGGGGGCUUUGCAGAUUGCACGGAAUCAAUUGUGCAGGAGCCCCAAAUGCUGGGAGCACAAUCAGUGACUUGUGUCACUGCUGUUCCCAUUCUUAGCAAAGGAAUGAAGAAUUGAACCUUCUGGGUGCUUGCUGGCUACAGUAUUUAUAUCCUGUACUUUAUAUUCCAGCAUGUAUGUUGCUAUUCAGAGACACAGAGGCCACAAAACAUAAACAUGUAACUUCCUGAUGAUGGCGUAUUAACAAAGGCCCUUAUUUAAACCCAAGUUGUGUACUGUAAACCUUGGUUUUGUCAGAUUGGUAUUAAUAAGCCUUAACCAUUAACCUCAUUGAGGUUUCCAUGCUCACCCUUGCCCUCGGGCCCAAGGGAUGCAUUUAAGCUCAGCCUGGCUGUUCUGUCUCUGUUUGGAUUAUAGUGAGGGGUGCAGCUGCCCCAGCUCUAUUCCUGGGUUGUUUGGCUUUCCUGGAGCUGGGUUAUCUUCUGGCCUGGUGCUCACUGGGCUGUUGCUGGGACCUAUUGGCAUCAGAGCCCUUAGCACCCUUGAGAGCAGCACUGGUCCUGCUGCCCCUCAAGUUUGUAGCAAUCUAAUCUCCGUGGCCAUUUAUCUGGUCCCCUCUGAAGAAUGGGGAGCUUCUACAGCACAGUCUUGGUACUGUCCUAACUGGCUUCAAAUGUGCAUGGAUUUAUCUCAGUUAUGGGUAUUGCAUUGAACGUUCAGAAUGAUGACACUGAAACGUCUUCCUGAUGGCAGGGUGUUGGUUAAAGUUCAUGUUUGUGCUGUACAUGUAGUUAAAACUUUGGAGUGAGAGAGAGGGUGAUCCCUAGGAAAGAGCUAUUUUACCGUCCUCCUCUGCACUGGGAAGAAGAGAGGUUAUUCCUCACCAUGGUGGAGCCUGUUGAGUGUUGUUGGGUGCCGGGGGGGACGUGGGAGAAGUGGGGAUAAGUCCAUCUAAUGUUUCACCUCUGCUGAGACAUGUCUUGUUUGUCCUGUCUGCUCACGCUGUGAACUCUCCUCAAUCAGGGCAGCCUCUCCCUGUGCUUUUGCUGCAGUUCUUAAUUGCGUUUUGGGGAAAACAGGGCUUUUAGUCACAAAUGCAAUGAUGAAUAGCUGUUUUGGCUUAAAAACUGCAUAUGCUGAUAAUAUGAUAAAUUGGCUGCGUAUGCAUGGGAAGAGGCGAGGGUUCUCAUGCCUGAUAUUCGUUGUUGCUGCUAUUAUAAAUGUCAGGGCUUUUUGUUUGUCUGCUUUGAAUGUUUUCAGGGGAGGCUCAUCGUCACUCAUACUUCUAAAUAUUUCUGGAGAGGUCCAAGCAUUGCUUGAGAUGUUCGGAAUGGUACCUAAAUGCCAGUACUUCAACUUGCUCUGGAUUUCAAAAUAGAAGGUU
ensembl:lncRNA